rnacentral:rRNA from 1 species
GAUGAACGCUGGCGGCGUGCUUAACACAUGCAAGUCGAACGAAGCAAUUUAACGGAAGUUUUCGGAUGGAAGUAAAAUUGACUGAGUGGCGGACGGGUGAGUAACGCGUGGGUAACCUGCCUCAUACAGGGGGAUAACAGUUAGAAAUGACUGCUAAUACCGCAUAAGCGCACAGUAUCGCAUGAUACAGUGUGAAAAACUCCGGUGGUAUGAGAUGGACCCGCGUCUGAUUAGCUAGUUGGUGGGGUAACGGCCUACCAAGGCGACGAUCAGUAGCCGACCUGAGAGGGUGACCGGCCACAUUGGGACUGAGACACGGCCCAAACUCCUACGGGAGGCAGCAGUGGGGAAUAUUGCACAAUGGGCGAAAGCCGGAUGCAGCGACGCCGCGUGAGCGAAGAAGUAUUUCGGUAUGUAAAGCUCUAUCAGCAGGGAAGAAAAAUGACGGUACCUGACUAAGAAGCACCGGCUAAAUACGUGCCAGCCGCCGCGGUAAAAC